UCUCCGGUGACCUAGUGGUUAGAGCGUCCGCCUCGGAUGCGGGAGGUCGUGGGUUCGAUCCCCGGUCUAGUCAUACCGAAGAC